UGAGAGUUUGUAACACCCAAAGCCGGUGGGGUAACCUUCGGGAGCCAGCCGUCUAAGGUGGGACAGAUGAUUAGGGUGAAGUCGUAACAAGGUAGCCGUAGGAGAACCUGCCGCUGGAUCACCUCCUUUCUAAGGAA
rnacentral:rRNA from 1 species